AGUUCUCUCCUUGAGCUGUAUUGUGAGCAGAGUCUCCAUAUCUUUUUUUUUACAUCGUGGCGACCAAAACAGAAUGCAGUAUGGAGGGCUUGGUCUCCAUUUUGUCUUAUUUUUCUCCACCACAAGCAAAACUUCACCAAUGCACAACUUUAGGAUCUCAAUGAUCUGAAUUUCAGGAUAAAGACAAGGAGCAAAGCACCAAGGUUACCAAAACAAUAACUCUGUCCGUCCUUCUACCAUUUCUCAAACUCUAUUCUAUCUUGUCCCCGACGAACAAGGCAAAACAAGGUUUUUGUGGUUUCGUUGCCAAGAACUCUCCGUCCCACCUUCUUUCCCCAACAUCAACAACCUCCUGUGAUCUCGUCGCCUUCCUGCCUCCCGUGAUGUUUGUUUUGAUAACCUGCUCCAGCAGUUUCAACUGUUAUCUGCCCACCCUUUCUCCAAGAAGUCUACCAUCCAGCCUUAUCUUCGGUCUUCUACGAUGAAAUUUCAAAACAGUUUCUUGCUGUCUUGCUUUCCUCCGGCUCCAUCCAAGUCACGUGUGAUGCUUAGCGCCAAAGACCUUGGAUAGCUAAGACACAACUUUGCCUUUGUUGACAGGUCGCCUCCUCGGAGAAGGUUUUCGAGCCUAGCAUGGGGCCUCCUGUUAUCUUCAGGUCUUUCUAGGCUAACAAUGAUUUCAUUGCACGGCAAUCUUCUUAUCUCAGUGUUCGGUAGUAAACCUUUGGGAUUGUU